rnacentral:rRNA from 1 species
UACGUAGGGGGCUAGCGUUGUCCGGAAUCAUUGGGCGUAAAGCGCGUGUAGGCGGUCCGGUAAGUCCGCUGUGAAAGUCGGGGGCUCAACCCUCGAAUGCCGGUGGAUACUGUCGGGCUAGAGUGCGGAAGAGGCGAGUGGAAUUCCUGGUGUAGCGGUGAAAUGCGCAGAUAUCAGGAAGAACACCCGUGGCGAAGGCGGCUCUCUGGGACGGUACUGACGCUGAGACGCGAAAAGCGUGGGGAGCGAACAGG